CCUACGGGCGGCAGCAGUGAGGAAUAUUGGUCAAUGGACGCGAGUCUGAACCAGCCAAGUAGCGUGAAGGAUGACUGCCCUAUGGGUUGUAAACUUCUUUUAUAUGGGAAUAAAAUGUUCCACGUGUGGGAUUUUGUAUGUACCAUAUGAAUAAGGAUCGGCUAACUCCGUGCCAGCAGCCGCGGUAAUACGGAGGAUCCGAGCGUUAUCCGGAUUUAUUGGGUUUAAAGGGAGCGUAGGUGGGUUGUUAAGUCAGUUGGGAAAGUUUGCGGCGCAACCGUAAAAUUGCAGUUGAAACUGGCAGUCUUGAGUACAGGAGAGGUGGGCGGAAUUCGUGGUGUAGCGGUGAAAUGCUUAGAUAUCACGAAGAACUCCGAUUGCGAAGGCAGCUCACUGGACUGCAACUGACACUGAGGCUCGAAAGUGUGGGGAUCAAACAGGAUUAGAUACCCGGGUAGUC
rnacentral:rRNA from 1 species